rnacentral:rRNA from 1 species
UACAGAGGGUGCAAGCGUUGUUCGGAAUUAUUGGGCGUAAAGCGCGUGUAGGCGGCUUUGCAAGUGGCGGGUGAAAUCCCUCGGCUUAACCGAGGAACUGCCUGUCAAACUGCAUGGCUUGAGACCGGGAGAGGUGAGUGGAAUUCCCAGUGUAGCGGUGAAAUGCGUAGAUAUUGGGAGGAACACCAGUGGCGAAGGCGGCUCACUGGACCGGUACUGACGCUGAUGCGCGAAAGCGUGGGGAGCAAACAGG